rnacentral:snRNA from 1 species
AUGCUUGCUUCAGCAGCACAUAUACUAAAAUUGGAAUGAUACAGACAAGAUUAGCAUGGCCCCUGUGCAAGGAUGACAUGCAAAUUCAUGAAGCAUUCCAUAUUUUU